rnacentral:rRNA from 1 species
AGUGAACGCUGGCGGUAGACCUAACACAUGCAAGUCGAACGGCAGCACAGUAAGAGCUUGCUCUUACGGGUGGCGAGUGGCGGACGGGUGAGGAAUACAUCGGAAUCUACUUUUUCGUGGGGGAUAACGUAGGGAAACUUACGCUAAUACCGCAUACGACCUACGGGUGAAAGCAGGGGAUCUUCGGACCUCGCGCGAUUGAAUGAGCCGAUGUCGGAUUAGCUAGUUGGCGGGGUAAAGGCCCACCAAGGCGACGAUCCGUAGCUGGUCUGAGAGGAUGAUCAGCCACACUGGAACUGAGACACGGUCCAGACUCCUACGGGAGGCAGCAGUGGGGAAUAUUGGACAAUGGGCGCAAGCCUGAUCCAGCCAUACCGCGUGGGUGAAGAAGGCCUUCGGGUUGUAAAGCCCUUUUGUUGGGAAAGAAAAGCAGCAGGUUAAUACCCCGCUGUUCUGACGGUACCCAAAGAAUAAGCACCGGCUAACCUCG